CUGGCUCAGGACGAACGCUGGCGGCGUGCUUAACACAUGCAAGUCGAACGGAAAGGCCCUUCGGGGUACUCGAGUGGCGAACGGGUGAGUAACACGUGGGUGAUCUGCCCUGCACUUUGGGAUAAGCCUGGGAAACUGGGUCUAAUACCGAAUAUGACCACGCGCUUCAUGGUGUGUGGUGGAAAGCUUUUGCGGGUGGGAUGGGC
rnacentral:rRNA from 1 species